rnacentral:tRNA from 1 species
GGCUAUAGCUCAGUGGUAGAGCAUGUGUUUAGCAUGCACGAGGUCCUGGGUUCAAUCCCCAGCAUCUCCA